UUCUUGCAUCGAGCAGUGGAGAGAUGAUCAAUUCUCUCGGUUCCAUAUGUAUGUACCAUGUGCUUUUGUUCAUAUUACAAGUUCUGCUAUUAGGUACAAGUUGCGGUGCGAAGAAAAAUCAUUUAUGCAUCGCUUCGUCUUGUGGUGAGAUCCGUAAUAUAAGUUAUCCCUUUCGAUUGAAAAACGAUCCAAAAUACUGCGGCAACUCGAAGUUUGAGCUAGUUUGUGAAAAUAACCGCACGGUUUUAUAUCUGCAAGCUGAUAGUAGAUAUUAUGUGAAGUCGAUCUAUUACGAUUCGUAUCACGACGAAUCUAGCUUCCGUGGUUACAUAACGGUGGUUGAUGAUGGCUUGCAAGAGGGUAAUUGCUCAUCCCUCCCUCGUCACUCGUUGAGGCGCGCCAUAUUUCGAAGAGUUUUCGACAAUUAUCUUUCAAGGCAAGUGGUCUUUGUGAAGUGCUUAUUGCCCGUUGCUUCUAAUUCGUAUCUUGAUACCAAACCGUGCAUCGAGGGAGCAUACUCUGCCGGCACGCCUCCAAAUUUUUCCCAAACGAAGGGGUACUCAUACGCUGCUCUUGAAGCUCACGCAUCGGACAUCAAGGAUUUUUGCACUAUAACCACGGUGACAUUUGCAUCAGACUAUUUCUCGUGUUGGGAGAGGGAUCAGUAUUAUCGUGUGUGCCCAUCAUACAGCUCAUCAUACAAGGACAUCCACAACGGGAUGGCGCAGGGAUUCAAUCUAUCCUAUCAGAAUGGUGGUGGACUAGCUGCACUUUGCAUCUUGGGUUUCGACUACCGCGAGAGGUGCAGGGUCUAUGACUCCGUCAUCUCGAACAAAUUCUUCUUGCUUUCUACAGAUACUUCUAUGGCGGCGAUAGUAACGAGAUAUGCACCUCCUCUUCUCCCCCAUUUGUUAGUUUUUUCCACAGAAAACUUCCUCGUGGCAAAAUUCAUGCUGGGAGCUGCAUGUGUGUUGAUAUUUUUAGUCUAUAAGUGGAAGAGAAGGCACCGAGCAAUGGAUGAAAACAUCGAAGAAUUCCUAGUAGCUCAUAACAACUUUUCACCUAUAAGAUACUCUUACUCAGACAUCAAGAAAAUCACAAAAAAUUUCAAACACAAAUUAGGGGAAGGAGGAUAUGGCUCUGUGUUCAAAGGAGUACUUAGAAGUGGCAACGAAGUUGCUGUUAAGAUUUUGAGCAAACCAAAUUCUAAUGGUCAAGAUUUUAUAAGUGAAGUGGCUACUAUUGGAAGGAUCCACCAUGUUAAUGUGGUGGAACUUGUUGGUUAUUGCUUUAACAACUCGAAGCAAGCUCUCGUGUACAAUUUCAUGUCGAACGGAUCUUUGGAUAAGCACAUUUUCUCAAAAGAUGGUGACGAUUCUCUUGAUUCUAAGAAAAUGUAUGAGAUCUCUCUUGGUGUGGCUAGAGGGAUAGAAUAUUUACAUCGAGGAUGUGACAUGCAAAUUUUGCACUUUGACAUCAAGCCUCACAAUAUUCUUCUAGAUCAAAAUUUCACUCCAAAAGUUUCUGACUUUGGGCUUGCAAGACUUUAUCCCAUGGACCACAGCAUAAUAUCGUUAACUGCAGCAAGAGGAACUUUAGGAUAUAUGGCUCCCGAGCUAUUCUACAAGAACAUUGGUGGUGUCUCGUAUAAAGCUGAUGUUUAUAGUUUUGGGAUGUUGCUAAUGGAAAUGGCAAGUAGGAGGAAAAAUGCAAAGAAUGUUGAGCAUUCAAGUCAAACUUAUUUCCCUUUGUGGGUCUAUGAUCAACUCAGCAAAGAAAGCGAGGUUGAAAUGGAAGAAGUGGAAGGGGACAAUGAGAUAACAAGGAAGAUGGUGAUAGUUGCCCUUUGGUGUAUACAAUUAAUCCCUGAUGAUCGGCCAUCAAUGAGCAGAGUCCUAAACAUGCUUGAAGGAGAUAUUGAUAAACUGCAACUGCCUCCAAAACCGCUUUUGUAUCCAUCCGAGAAGCCGUUUGAUGAUAACGCUGAAAUAGAACUUGAAUCAUUCUCAGAUACAUCAAGUGCUCCAACAAUUUCUGAAGGAUACCGAUUUCAGAAUAGCAAUGAAGUUACGGAAUCGUCCAUUGUAUGAUUCUUUUUCUUUCCUGUUUGAAUGAAUGCCAAAUAAACGUAGUUCCAUCCGAAGCAUAAUUGACUAUGUAAAUCGUGAUUUCGGCGUUUGUAGCAUCCUGUGUUUUGCAGAAGAAUUGCCUCUUUGGCCAUCUGUUUUCAUCUCUGUUUCCUGAUAUUUCAGACCAGGCUCGACUUGUAUAAUGCAAUGAGUCCCUCUCUCUCUCUCUCUCUCUCUCUCUCCUCCCCUUCGCUCGCCCCUCGACCGCCUCCUGGUCGCCCACCUCGAUGUCUCCGAACUCCGCGGAGCAAUCUUCCACCCCGACCUCAUGUCGCGGCCUCCUCACCUUCUCUCCUCCUCAAGUCCUGCAUUCCUUCCCGAGGGUUCGCGCUCGGGAAGCGCGUCCAUCGCGCGCUCGCGCCGUCUCAGCUUGAGCCCGAUUCGGUGAUUCUCAACUCGCUCAUCAGUCUCUGCUCAAAAUUCAAUGACUGGGCUGAGGCGGAGAGGACUUUUUGGGACAUGGGUAAUAAUAGGGAUUUGGUUUCUUGGAGCUCCAUGAGUUCUUGCUAUGCCAAUAACCACAUCGCGGAUGAAGCAGUCGAUAUUUUAGCUCAUUUGCUUGAAGAUGGGUUUUUCCCUCGGCUUGUUCGGGUCCAAAGAAUGCAUCAACUGGUGAUAGAGCUUCGAGUUUAUAAUCAAAAGCGGCUAUCUUGAUUCUGAUGUGUGUGUCAGGUGUGCAUCAAUUGACAUGUUUUCAAAGGAUAGUGCUGAUUUGAUUUCAGCUCAUAAGUUGUUUGAGAAAAUGCCCGAGAGAAGUGUGGUUGCGUGGACUUUGAUGAUGACAAGAUGUACUCAGUUGGGUGGUCCAAAGAAUGCUGUUGAUUUGUUUUUGGAUAUACUGGUGAGUGGGCUGUGCCAGAUAGAUUUACACUUACAGUUGUUUUGUCGGCACGUUCAAGGUUGGAGCUAAUAUCCCUUGGGGUGCAAUUGCAUUCCUGUAUCAUAUGGUCUGGACUGGCUUCAGAUGUUUGUGUUCGAUGCAGCUUGGUGGACAUGUACGUGAAGUGUGUGGCUAGUGGAUCGAUUCAUGAUUUGAGAAAGGUGCUUAAUCGGAUGCAAGAUCACAACGUGAUGUCUUGGACACCAAUAAUCAGAGGAAAUGUGCAAACUGAAGAGAAUGAGGAGGCCAUCAAACUCUUUUGGGAAAUAAUAAAAGAUCCACCAAGGCCACACCAUUUCACAUUUGCUAGUGUUCUCAAGGCAUGUGGAAUUAUUUGUGAUAUUAGAUAUGGGGAUACGAGUAUACUCUGUAGCUAUAAAAAUUGUGCUUUGCAUUUGAUACUUACGUGGGUAAUUCUCUUAUUAGCAUGUAUUCCCAGUCGGGCCACAUGGAAGAUGCUCAGAAAGCUUUGGAUGCACUAUUUGAAAAGAAUUUGAUUUCUCAUGAUACCCAUGCGGAUGCCUAUGCCAAAAGUUUGGAGUCUGAUGAAGCCUAUGAACUUCUUCAUGAGAUUGAGGAGAGAGGAAUUGGACAAACGCUUUUACUUUUUUCAACCUUUUAAGUGGAGCUGCCUGUAUUGGCGCUAUUGGUGAGGGGAUGCAACUCAGGGCUCGCCUCAAAUCAGUGCAUUCUUAAUGGUUUGAUCUCAAUGUAUUCCAGGUGUGAAAACCGUAAACACAGAAGCUGCUUUUCGAGUUUCCCAUGAUACGAGAGACAAAUGUUAAAACUUGGACUUCAAUGAUCACUGGUUUUGCAAAACAUGGAUUUGCAACGAGAGCUCUGGUCACAUUCCAUAAAAUGCUUGAGGCCAGGGGGAGGCCAAAUGAGAUCGCCUAUGUUGCUGUCUUAUCCUCUUGUAGCCAUGUGGGUUUGGUAUCUGAUGGAUGGAAACACUUUAGAUCAAUAGAACAUGGAUUCAUGCCCAGAAUCGAAUACUAUGCAUGCAUGGAUUUAUUGGGCAGAUAAGGCUCCCUUGUUGAAUCCCUUCAGUUCAUACUUUAAAUGCCUUUGCAGGGCUGACACACUUGUCUGGCAUACAUUUCUCAGAGCUUGCCCAGUUCACGGCAAUGUUGAACUUGCAAAACAAGCUGCAGCAAUGAUUUUUGGGUGGGAGCCGGACAACCUUGCUGCUUUUGUUUUGCUAUCAAAUGUGUAUGCAUCAACUGGCCUAAGGGAAGAUGGUUGUAGCUGGACUGAAGCGAAAAAAUAAAAGUUAUAUAUGGGUGACAUGUCACAGAAGAGGCUCGGGAGAUCUAUGAUGUACAGGACCAAUUGGCUAGUCGAAUAAAGAAACUCGGUGAUCUUCUGGAUACUGAAUUUGUUCUUCAUGAUGUGGAGGAGGGACAAAAGGAACAAUAUUUGAGCACAGUGAAAAAAUUACUGUUGUUUUUGGCCUUAUAAGCACCUCCAGUCCGAAACCUAUCUGGGCGUUUAAGAAUCUUAGCAUUUGCAGAGAUUGUCAUUCUGCGAUCAAGUAUAUCUCCAUGGCAACCGGAAGUUCUGUAGUCAUAAGGGAUGCAAACUGGUUCCACCAUUGCACGGACAGAACAUGCGUAUUCAAUGACUACUGUUGAAUGCACUGAUGGGCAAAAGAACAAAACCGCCAUGACGCAGGAAGAGAUUCGCUGGUAGAAACUCCAGACCAAGUAAGGGGAAUGAACGCAGAAUUUCUUGCUAAACCGCGUUAAAUAACAUGAACACCUUCAGAGAAAGCAAAGACAGUUUGAAUCCAAGUGGCUUAAGCUUCGAGCCAUUAAAAGUCGAUGGUAGAAAAGGUCCCCUGACGUUUGCAGCCUGGUGUCCACCUGCUUUGAGGUUCGGAACUUGCGAAAUCGGCAUGUGUGCCCCUCUGUCAUCGCUUGUGCUUCCAACGAAGGACGAGCAAGAUUACUGUGGGGCACGAGAUGUGGAGGUAGCUAGUCAGAUAGAUUCAGCCCUACUCGUCGUCAUUUUUCAAUCACGGGCGUGAUCGCGAGUCAGCUUCUCAACUUGAAAUUGAUGUUGAAGCGUUCGACUAGUUACUCUCGUGAAUGAUAGGAGCAUCCGGGAAAUCGAUGUACGAACCAGCCAAUGUUAAAUUUCUUGCCAGAUUAUCUAAAUCAAGUAUAGAGAAUACUCAACUA